rnacentral:rRNA from 1 species
GCGGUGGAGCAGUGUGGUUCAAUUCGAAGCAACGCGAAGAACCUUACCAGGCCUUGACAUGCAGAGAACUUUCCAGAGAUGGAUUGGUGCCUUCGGGAACUCUGACACAGGUGCUGCAUGGCUGUCGUCAGCUCGUGUCGUGAGAUGUUGGGUUAAGUCCCGUAACGAGCGCAACCCUUGUCCUUAGUUACCAGCACGUUAUGGUGGGCACGUCUAAGGAGACUGCCGGUGACAAACCGGAGGAAGGUGGGGAUGACGUCAAAUCAUCAUGCCCCUUAUGACCUGGGCUACAAACGUGAUACAAUGGCUGGAACAAAGGGAUGCGAAGCAGUGAUGUGGAGCGAAACCCAUAAAAACAGUCUCAGUUCGGAUUGAAGUCUGCAACUCGACUUCAUGAAGUCGGAAUCGCUAGUAAUCGCCGGAUCAGAACGCCGCGGUGAAUACGUUCUCGGGGUU